rnacentral:rRNA from 1 species
GGUUAAGCGACUAAGCGUACACGGUGGAUGCCCUGGCAGUCAGAGGCGAUGAAGGACGUGCUAAUCUGCGAAAAGCGCCGGCGAGGUGAUAUGAACCUUUGACCCGGCGAUGUCCGAAUGGGGAAACCCAGUGUGUUCCGACACACUAUCGUUAACUGAAUACAUAGGUUAACGAGGCGAACCGGGGGAACUGAAACAUCUAAGUACCCCGAGGAAAAGAAAUCAACCGAGAUUCCCCCAGUAGCGGCGAGCGAACGGGGAGCAGCCCAGAGUCUGAAUCAGCUUGUGUGUUAGUGGAAGCGUCUGGAAAGUCGCACGGUACAGGGUGACAGUCCCGUACACGAAAAUGCACAGGUUGUGAACUCGAAGAGUAGGGCGGGACACGUGGUAUCCUGUCUGAAUAUGGGGGGACCAUCCUCCAAGGCUAAAUACUCCUGACUGACCGAUAGUGAACCAGUACCGUGAGGGAAAGGCGAAAAGAACCCCGGCGAGGGGAGUGAAAAAGAACCUGAAACCGUGUACGUACAAGCAGUGGGAGCCUCUUUUAUGGGGUGACUGCGUACCUUUUGUAUAAUGGGUCAGCGACUUAUAUUCUGUAGCAAGGUUAACCGUAUAGGGGAGCCGAAGGGAAACCGAGUCUUAACUGGGCGUUAAGUUGCAGGGUAUAGACCCGAAACCCGGUGAUCUAGCCAUGGGCAGGUUGAAGGUUGGGUAACACUAACUGGAGGACCGAACCGACUAAUGUUGAAAAAUUAGCGGAUGACUUGUGGCUGGGGGUGAAAGGCCAAUCAAACCGGGAGAUAGCUGGUUCUCCCCGAAAGCUAUUUAGGUAGCGCCUCGUGAAUUCAUCUUCGGGGGUAGAGCACUGUUUCGGCUAGGGGGCCAUCCCGGCUUACCAACCCGAUGCAAACUACGAAUACCGAAGAAUGUUAUCACGGGAGACACACGGCGGGUGCUAACGUCCGUCGUGAAGAGGGAAACAACCCAGACCGCCAGCUAAGGUCCCAAAGUCAUGGUUAAGUGGGAAACGAUGUGGGAAGGCACAGACAGCCAGGAUGUUGGCUUAGAAGCAGCCAUCAUUUAAAGAAAGCGUAAUAGCUCACUGGUCGAGUCGGCCUGCGCGGAAGAUGUAACGGGGCUAAACCAUGCACCGAAGCUGCGGCAGCGACGCUUAUGCGUUGUUGGGUAGGGGAGCGUUCUGUAAGCCGUUGAAGGUGUCCUGUGAGGGGUGCUGGAGGUAUCAGAAGUGCGAAUGCUGACAUAAGUAACGAUAAAGCGGGUGAAAAGCCCGCUCGCCGGAAGACCAAGGGUUCCUGUCCAACGUUAAUCGGGGCAGGGUGAGUCGACCCCUAAGGCGAGGCCGAAAGGCGUAGUCGAUGGGAAACAGGUUAAUAUUCCUGUACUUGGUGUUACUGCGAAGGGGGGACGGAGAAGGCUAUGUUAGCCGGGCGACGGUUGUCCCGGUUUAAGCAUGUAGGCGGAACGAUUAGGUAAAUCCGGUCGUUUAUUAACGCUGAGGUGUGAUGACGAGGCACUACGGUGCUGAAGUAACAAAUGCCCUGCUUCCAGGAAAAGCCUCUAAGCAUCAGGUAACAUCAAAUCGUACCCCAAACCGACACAGGUGGUCAGGUAGAGAAUACCAAGGCGCUUGAGAGAACUCGGGUGAAGGAACUAGGCAAAAUGGUGCCGUAACUUCGGGAGAAGGCACGCUGAUAUGUAGGUGAAGCCCCUGCGGGUGGAGCUGAAAUCAGUCGAAGAUACCAGCUGGCUGCAACUGUUUAUUAAAAACACAGCACUGUGCAAACACGAAAGUGGACGUAUACGGUGUGACGCCUGCCCGGUGCCGGAAGGUUAAUUGAUGGGGUUAGCGGUAACGCGAAGCUCUUGAUCGAAGCCCCGGUAAACGGCGGCCGUAACUAUAACGGUCCUAAGGUAGCGAAAUUCCUUGUCGGGUAAGUUCCGACCUGCACGAAUGGCGUAAUGAUGGCCAGGCUGUCUCCACCCGAGACUCAGUGAAAUUGAACUCGCUGUGAAGAUGCAGUGUACCCGCGGCAAGACGGAAAGACCCCGUGAACCUUUACUAUAGCUUGACACUGAACACUGGUCCUUGAUGUGUAGGAUAGGUGGGAGGCUUUGAAGCGUGGACGCCAGUCUGCGUGGAGCCAACCUUGAAAUACCACCCUUUAAUGGCUGGUGUUCUAACGUAGACCCGUAAUCCGGGUUGCGGACAGUGUCUGGUGGGUAGUUUGACUGGGGCGGUCUCCUCCCAAAGAGUAACGGAGGAGCACGAAGGUUAGCUAAUCCUGGUCGGACAUCAGGAGGUUAGUGCAAUGGCAUAAGCUAGCUUGACUGCGAGAGUGACGGCUCGAGCAGGUGCGAAAGCAGGUCAUAGUGAUCCGGUGGUUCUGAAUGGAAGGGCCAUCGCUCAACGGAUAAAAGGUACUCCGGGGAUAACAGGCUGAUACCGCCCAAGAGUUCAUAUCGACGGCGGUGUUUGGCACCUCGAUGUCGGCUCAUCACAUCCUGGGGCUGAAGUAGGUCCCAAGGGUAUGGCUGUUCGCCAUUUAAAGUGGUACGCGAGCUGGGUUUAGAACGUCGUGAGACAGUUCGGUCCCUAUCUGCCGUGGGCGCUGGAGAAUUGAGGGGGGCUGCUCCUAGUACGAGAGGACCGGAGUGGACGCAUCACUGGUGUUCGGGUUGUCAUGCCAAUGGCACUGCCCGGUAGCUAAAUGCGGAAGAGAUAAGUGCUGAAAGCAUCUAAGCACGAAACUUGCCCCGAGAUGAGUUCUCCCUGAGACUUUAAGUCUCCUGAAGGAACGUUGAAGACUACGACGUUGAUAGGUCGGGUGUGUAAGCGCAGCGAUGCGUUGAGCUAACCGAUACUAAUGAACCGUGAGGCUUAACCUU